rnacentral:rRNA from 1 species
UGGGGAAUAUUGGGCAAUGGAGGAAACUCUGACCCAGCGACGCCGCGUGCGGGAUGAAGGCUUCGGGUUGUAAACCGCUUUCAGCAGGGAAGAAGCGAAAGUGACGGUACCGCAGAA